GAUUUUGCAAUCAGCUGACAUGAACAGCAGACAUGCUUUAAGAGCAAGGACCCUACCACCCCUCACUCCAUACUCUGCCUCUGCCCCAAGCAAGACGCAGCACCUGCCAAACCAGGCACUUAAGGAAUAUGGUCCAACUUUUCAAACGCAAACUGGAGAGGAGACGCAGAUAAUUUCUUGAAGAGUGCAAGAAGACAGCAGAAAAGGUACUCUGAGGAAGGGAUGCGUGAGCUUUGGGGCUGUCCCCUCUGCGCUCCAAAGCUACUCUCCUGGCUAUCUCUUCUUCGAGUCUUCAUUCAAGUGGCCCCAUGAAGAGCACCAGUGGAACUUCCCAUUGCCCUUUGGGAACUCCAACCAGAUCAAUGCCGUGAACCCAGAAGCUGCUCCGGUGACCAUGAAGUCCACAAGUUGAAAUGUCAGAGCCACAGUUUAGAAAUAACCCAGACCUGGAGUCGCUGACUGCAUGAAGGACAGAUUCCCGGAAGAAUCACUCCAUCCCUGUUGGAUUUUGUGUGAACAAGAAACAAAUCUGUUAAAUUAAGCCACUAAACUGCUGGGGUUUACUUAUGACCAUAACCUAGCCUGCCCUAUGUAGGCUACAGCGGCUUAAAUGCCUGCAGGGGUCUGACCAGCAGUUGAAAUGAAA
rnacentral:lncRNA from 1 species